GCCAGGCGCGGUGGCAUGUGCCUGUAGUCCCAGCUACUUGGGAGGCUGAGGCUGGAGGAUUGAUUGAGUCCAGGAGUUCUGGGCUGUAGUGUGCCAUGCCGAUUGCGUGUCCACACUAAGUUCGGCAUCAAUAUGGUGACCUCCCAGGAGCCGGGAACCACCAGGUUGCCUAAGGAGGGGUGAACUAGCCCAAGUCAGAAACGGAGCAGGUCAAAACUCCCGUGCUGAUCAGUAGUGGGAUCGUGCCUGUGAAUAGUCACUGCACUCCAGCCUGGGCAACAUAGCGAGACCCUGUCUCU
rnacentral:SRP_RNA from 1 species